CCACGGUGUUGAUGCCUCAACAUUGACAUUUUAGAAGAAGGCAUGAAAAAUUACUGCAUCGUGGCGCGGUUAAUGCGACAUAAUGUUCGACCCUCCCAAGCUGAAGACAUUGGAAAGGACACUCAUAAGUUGGCUUAUUGUCCUGCUCGUAUUUCUCCCUGCUGUCACAUACGCGUCAGAACCCCAAGGGAUCGGUGACGCUACAAAAAUAUUGAACACAGUUCAACAAUGGCAUUCUUCGGUUUCCAUAGACCAUAGCAGCUUCGAAGCCACUUCGUCGGAGAAGAUUGCGAAGGACAGCUUUUAUUUUCCGAGCAUUUUCAGAAGGUCCACGAGCCCCACGAAAGUGACCGAAAUUAUAUUUGAAGUCAGCCUCGCAAAUAUCGGUUUCAACUACACCACGACAGUUUUGUCUAGGACGCUGCAUCUUAAGGUUAAGGUGGAAAAAGUGAAAGUGAUCUUGACGCUUCAUCAAGGUGAACGAAAUGUACUGACCGUGGCUUCCUUUCGUAUCGAUCACCUCAGUUGUAUCCACGCUCAAGUUGGAGGUUUCUGGUUUAUUGAUCAGGUGCUGAACUUCA